UGCUUCCCAUAACAAUAACGCCCUUAAAUGAGAGAGAGAGAGAUGUUACGAGCGAGGGACAGAGAGAGACAGUUAAUUAUAAUCUUACUUGCUGUGGAAAUGAGUCUGAUCCAGUAGUUAGUAGAGUAGUCUGAUCCAGGUGUGUUUUAGACCAGUAGUUAGUAGUCUGAUCCAGGUGGGUUUUAGACCAGUAGUUAGUAGAGUAGUCUGAUCCUGGUGUGUUUUAGACCGGUAGUUAGUAGAGUAGUCUGAUCCAGGUGUGUUUUAGACCAGUACUUAGUAGAGUAGUCUGAUCCAGGUGUGUUUUAGACCAGUAGUUAGUAGUCUGAUCCAGGUGUGUUUUAGACCGGUAGUUAGUAGAGUAGUCUGAUCCUGGUGUGUUUUAGACCGGUAGUUAGUAGAGUAGUCUGAUCCAGGUGUGUUUUAGACCAGUAGUUAGUAGAGUAGUCUGAUCCUGGUGUGUUUUAGACCGGUAGUUAGUAGUCUGAUCCAGGUGUGUUUUAGACCAGUAGUUAGUAGUCUGAUCCAGGGUUGUUUUAGACCAGUAGUUAGUAGAGUAGUCUGAUCCAGGUGUGUUUUAGACCAGUAGUUAGUAGUCUGAUCCAGGGGGUUUUAGACCAGUAGUUAGUAGUCUGAUCCAGGUGGGUUUUAGACCAGUAGUUAGUAGUCUGAUCCAGGUGUGUUUUAGAUCAGUAGUUAGUAGUCUGAUCCAGGUGUGUUUUAGACCAGUAGUUAGUAGAGUAGUCUGAUCCAGGGUUGUUUUAGACCAGUAGUUAGUAGAGUAGUCUGAUCCAGGUGUGUUUUAGACCAGUAGUUAGUAGUCUGAUCAGGUGUGUUUUAGACCAGUAGUUAGUGGACUAGUCUGAUCCAGGUGUGUUUUAGACCAGUACUUAGUAGUCUGAUCCAGGUGUGUUUUAGAUCAGUAGUUAGUAGAGUAGUCUGAUCCAGGUGUGUUUUAUACCAGUAGUUAGUAGAGUAGUCUGAUCCAGGUGUGUUUUAUACCAGUAGUUAGUAGAGUAGUCUGAUCCAGGUGUGUUUUAGACCGGUAGUUAGUAGAGUAGUCUGAUCCAGGUGUGUUUUAGACCAGUAGUUAGUUGUCUGAUCCAGGUGUGUUUUAGACCAGUAGUUAGUAGUCUGAUCCAGGUGUGUUUUAGACCGAUAGUUAGUAGAGUAGUCUGAUCCAGGUGUGUUUUAGACCGAUAGUUAGUAGAGUAGUCUGAUCCAGGUGUGUUUUAGACCAGUAGUUAGUAGUCUGAUCCAGGGGUGUUUUAGACCGGUAGUUAGUAGUCUGAUCCUGGUGUGUUUUAGACCAGUAGUUAGUAGAGUAGUCUGAUCCAGGUGUGUUUUAGACCAGUAGUUAGUAGAGUAGUCUGUGUUAAGAUCAGAACAUACA
ensembl:lncRNA